rnacentral:lncRNA from 1 species
CAACCGUCUUCAACUGAACUCCUUGAAUUGUGGAACGUGAUAAGGUUACUCAAUAACUGCACUUCUGGAUAACCAUAACAUCUUAUGUUUGCUAAGAUCCUGGGCGAUUCGAAAGUUUGGGCGAGAACAAAGUCAUAGCUCUGGGCGACUGUAAGGCACUUCAUUCGCUCAGAUCUUGGGCGUCUUGCAAGCUUGGGCGAUGAUGUUAUCGUGUUCGUGGGCUUCCACUGCAUUCAUUAAUAACCCUAUCUGGGCCUUUAUCCUGAAUUGUCCAGUUGGGCUUCAUUCUUUGGGCUAUUUGAUUUGGAAAUUCCCAAAUUGGGCUUCAUUCCUUGGGCUAUUCGAUUUGUGCUGCACUUUUAGUGUGUCAACGAUUAUCCCCCAAUAUGGCACAAUUAAUACCAAUUAUUAAUCUUUGCCAUAUUUACUUUGUGUUUCCCAACAACAUUUGAAAUUCCCAAGAAUUUCAAUCAUUAUUUCCUUUCAUAGCCUGAAAAAGUGCGACGCUACAAACCCUUAUAAACCCCAAAGACACGCCAUUUCAUUGUACCACUAAAUCACGCCUCAUUAUUUCGCGCUUCUUUCUCGCGCAUACCACUGUUCAUCUUCUUGUUUCUCUGCUACGUUUCUCAAGUAAACUUUAAAAAAAUUGUAUUUCGUCCUCAAUAGCUGCUGCACAAACCCAAUCUGACGACUCUUUUAGCUUCGAAGAUUUCCAGAAAAUCCUCACUCGGCCAUAUGUAAAUCCGAACUUCCUUGCACCGGCCAAUGCCGAACUUAAUGAGUUCUUUUUGGGUCCUUCAUUCAACAACGCUGAAGCCGUCAAACAAGUGGCGGUGGGCCAGCUCUUCCCUUGUACUCAAGGCCCUCCAUUCCUGAACUCUUUGCCGCUGAGGCCGAUUUGCGAAAAAAGGUAUUCACACUUGGCCUAAAUCCGAUGUUGUUUUCCGUAGAUGGCAUGCUCGCCUUGUGGGCCAUGGUCCUACCAAGGUAAUUUUUGAUCGUGCUAGGAUUUCUGAUUUAUUAGAAAUCUCUCUUCAACCCCCAAUUUUUGACCCAACACUUUUUCCUAUUACCUUAAGUUUUUGGUCUUCUAAAUAUAAUACUUUUGUUUUCCCUCUUGGUCCCAUGUCUAUUACUUUAAGGGAUGUUGGAGCCCUGAUAAAUCUUCCACCUUUGGGCGACACCAUUUUUCCUGGUAUUUUGAUUUUCGAUGUUGCCCCAAAAUUUGACAAAAAACUCACUGAGUCCUAUUCAAGCCUGCAAGGCUGUUAUAAUCACUCAAACGCUGAGCCUUCCCACGCUGAGCGUGUAGCUUUUCUUCAGAUUUGGCUUUGUAAAUAUAUUCUGUGUGUGCCCAGUAUAAAGUCUUCUAUGAGCUAUUUACCUAUAACGCACGAAUUGGCACGUGGUAGGCCUUUGAAUUUGUGUUCCUUCUUUUUGGCUGCCCUCUAUAGAGGCAUGGCUUCUCUUCAAUUUCAAUUGAAGAAUGGUGCAUCUCCCAAUGGCAGUGGGCCUCUUUAGUUCACUCAACUGUAGUUGAGAGCCUAUUUUCCAUCACUUGGUGCUCUAUCCAUGUCACUUCGUUCUGCUAGCUGCUAUGGGCUAGCCAUUGACCCAUUGAGCCCUGUAAAUAUGUCUAGAAGGGAUAUUUUUUCAUUUUUUUAUACUUUAAAUUCAAUUCAUUCCUUCUUUCCUUUUCCUGCUUAUUUAAUUCCAGAUUAUGUGCAACCUCCAUCUACCCUGGACAGUGCGAGCACCUCUUUGCUCGUUUGGGUUCAGUUUUUAAUUGGGAGGGAGUUGUUCCAUGAUAUUUUAACCGGAACCAAUGCCAAAGCUGGGGUUGAAAUAUAUGUUCCCCAAUUUUUUGCUCGCCAAAUUGGUUUUGGCGAAACUUGGCCUGUUCCCUCUUAUUAUUCAAAAAAUUUGAUAGACCGCUUUCGUACCAUUAAUAAGGCAGAGGCACAAGUUAUAGAUGCUGGCAAUAUUCUUUUGAUGAGUAACUUUUCAUUAGCCCCCUUCAAUCCUAACUGUGCCGUUCAUCCCCUUUUUGAACAACUCUGGCCAUCAGUGAAGCACAGAUUGUUUGCAACUGAUGCCAAUCGUGCUUUCCAUUCACUGGAUUAGCCAAACAUUCCUUCCACUUCUCCUAUUUUGGUCACUCCUGUGUCCAUUAGGAAUCCUUCCUCCCCUGCUCGUGCUAAACAAUCUGUUCGUCCCUCUACUUCUCUACCUGCCAAACCUACUGCAGCUAAGAGUGCCCCAAGCCGCAAACGGUCAGUUUCAACAUCUCCCAUUUUGGAUUAUGAUGAUGAUGAUGAUGACACUCCUCUCAUCGUCAGGAGAAAGGUAAUUGAUUUCUGUUUAUUCACAAGCAUACAUUUCUAUGUGCUAGUGGUUUUCUUGAAUUUCUCAGAAAAGUUCAGCCUCUCCUUUGACGGCUUUGGUGUUGGCAGCUCCUGCUCCAUCAUCCUCUGCUGGAGCUGCUUCGUCCAAACCAGCUAAUGAAAUGACUACGCUUAAAGAGAAACCUUCAGUCUCGGAACCUUCAUCACAACCAAUGGACGAGCCACUUUCUUUCCAGGGCGCCAACCCCCCAAACGUCGAACCAGAAGGUAAUACAUUUUUUGAUGUUUUACCUUUGCUUAUGCUAUUGGUUUCUGAUUUGUUGCUUCUUUAAUCAUGCAGAGGCUCCUCUAGGUCUGUCCGUUGUGGCAGAGUCUUCUCGCCCAAAUAAGGGAAAGUCUCCACAGGUGGUGGGGCCACAGGUGGUGGAGCCAACUGGUGAUAUGCCACCUCCCAAGAUUGCUGAUGAGGUAACCUUUUGCUUCACUUUUAUUUUCACUUUGUUUAUUGUAGUGAAAACCGUCAAUGUUGGCAUUUCUCUUUGCAGGAUGCUGAUGAGAUUGUACGUUCCGUCCAGGACUUGUUCACUUCCUGGGAGCAAGUCAAGACGUCUUGCCUUACUUCAACUGGUCGUCCUUCUGCUUCUUCAAAGGAAGAUAUGAAGUUCCUCAAACAGUCGAUAUUUGAGUAUGUAUCUUUUAUGGAUAUGGACAUCGGUCAGGCUAGUGCUGCCAAACAUAAGGAUAAACUUGAGCAUUUGAGUGCGAAGUUGGCGCAAGCACUGACACUUUCGUCGCUCAAUAUGUUUGCUGAUUUUAAAGCGACGUUGAAAGUUGUCCACUCUGACAUCCUCUCUUUGCUGGCCAAAAAUGUUGAACUGAAGGCCAAGAGUACUCAAUAUCUUCGCGUUGCAUCUGAAAGAGAGUCUUUGCUUCUGGAGAUCAACAAAGUUGAGGAUGAAUUGAAAGAAAUCUCUUCCGAAAUUAUGAUUGAAGACUCUUUGAUGACCAGUUUGGCUGCACAGAUGAAGGAACUUCAAGCAAGGAUGGAUGACUGCAAGGCGAGAAUGGCUGCUAAAAAGCGUAAUGCUUCCUAAGGAAUUGAGCGAACUAAGUCUUUGGUCGAGCAGUACAAGAAGCUGGAGAUUGAUGAUGAUUUUGUAGCUGAAUUGAAUGUCGCUUCUUCUCAGCAGAGCGAGGAUUGGGGGAGACUUAGGGAAAGAAUUCGUUCGGUCUGGGGCGAAUUGUAAUUAAGACAUCUAAUACCUUAACUUUUCUUUUUGUAACUUCGUAUUAACUUUCCUCUUGUAACCUCGUACUAAUAGCCAUUGCCAAUUUUGAAUGUAACAGCAGUCAUUGUCAUUAAUGAACGACUAAUUUGUCU